UAAAACAGAAUCAAAUCAAAUUAAUAACCCCUUCUCUCUCUCUUUCCCAAUCACGUUUUCCCUCCCCCCUCUCUCUAACCCUAAUAAUACGUCGUCGAUAUCACCAUCAUUGCAGGUCGUCACCGUCGCCGCCAUCCCUAAUCAGUACUGUCGUCACCGUCGCCACCGUCCCUAAUCAGUACCGCCGUUGCCAUCGCGUCCACAACCAAUCAUUUGAGAUGGCAGGUGAAAAGAGGAGUAAGAAAACAAAGAAAGCUAAGGAGACGAGGGUUCCCGGAGACCACCAGAAAACCUUGCGAUUAGAGAUAGAAGCCCGUCGCCACGUCUCCCACCACGCGGCGCUCCAUUGCCUCAUGAUCCCCUCAUGAAUGGCAUUUCAUAUAGUCUUCCACCUCCAUAUGAUUUGUGGAUUGUGUAAGUGUUUUGUGGAUGUUUGCGAAGGGUGAAAUAGUCUAAUGUUGUAUAUUAACUUAGUGUAGACUAGUUUAAUGUUUUGUGGAUGUUUACAAUUGUUGAAGUAGUUUAAUGUUGUUUUAAUGUUUGCGAAAGUUGAAGUAGCUUAAUGUCUCUUGUGAAUGUUUGAUUGAUAUUUUUAUUCAACUUUGAAGUAGUUUCGAAUUGAAUUUGAUGUAUUGGUGGUUGUAAUAUAUGUAUUGUAAUAGUAGCUUAAUGUUUUACGUA